CCUACGGGUGGCAGCAGUGGGGAAUAUUGCACAAUGGGGGAAACCCUGAUGCAGCGACGCCGCGUGAGUGAAGAAGUAAUUCGUUAUGUAAAGCUCUAUCAGCAGGGAAGAAGAUGACGGUACCUGAGUAAGAAGCCCCGGCUAACUACUGGCCAGCAGCCGCGGUAAUACGUAGGGGGCACGCGUUAUGCGGAUUGACUGGGUGUAAAGGGAGCGUAGACGGCAGUGCAAGUCUGGAGUGAAAGGCGGGGGCUCAACCCCCGGACUGCUCUGGAGACUGGACGGCUGGAGUGCAGGAGAGGUAAGUGGAAUUCCUGGUGUAGCGGUGAAAUGCGUAGAUAUUAGGAGGAAUACCAGUGGCGAAGGCGGCUUACUGGACUGGAACUGACGUUGAGGCUCGAAAGCGUGGGGAGCAAACAGGAUUAGAUACCCGUGUAGUC
rnacentral:rRNA from 1 species